AUGAUGACAGAGAAGAUCUACAUCAGAGGAGACAUCACCUGGGAGGAACUGGAUGCGAGAGGGCACCUAAAACACCAUCUGGUGGAAGUUUCGGGACAAACCGAGAGUGCCCCGAAGGAACUGGUGCCGUCCUUCCCAUCACUGCAUGCCGGCCCAGGGAGGCUCCGCUAACCGAGGUUCCUGAACAUUUACAGAAAAGAUAUUAAAGGCUUUUGGAAGGUGAGGACCCUCUGACACAGGUACGCUAAGUGUCUGCCUCCUAGUGGCUCGACUACCCGAUGCCCCAAC